rnacentral:rRNA from 1 species
GACGAACGCUGGCGGCGUGCCUAAUACAUGCAAGUCGAACGAACUCUGGUAUUGAUUGGUGCUUGCAUCAUGAUUUACAUUUGAGUGAGUGGCGAACUGGUGAGUAACACGUGGGAAACCUGCCCAGAAGCGGGGGAUAACACCUGGAAACAGAUGCUAAUACCGCAUAACAACUUGGACCGCAUGGUCCGAGCUUGAAAGAUGGCUUCGGCUAUCACUUUUGGAUGGUCCCGCGGCGUAUUAGCUAGAUGGUGGGGUAAUGGCUCACCAUGGAAAUGAUACGUAGCCGACCUGAGAGGGUAAUCGGCCACAUUGGGACUGAGACACGGCCCAAACUCCUACGGGAGGCAGCAGUAGGGAAUCUUCCACAAUGGACGAAAGUCUGAUGGAGCAACGCCGCGUGAGUGAAGAAGGGUUUCGGCUCGUAAAACUCUGUUGUUAAAGAAGAACAUAUCUGAGAGUAACUGUUCAGGUAUUGACGGUAUUUAACCAGAAAGCCACGGCUAACUACGUGCCAGCCGCCGCAGUAA